rnacentral:rRNA from 1 species
AGUGAACGCUGGCGGUAGGCCUAACACAUGCAAGUCGAACGGCAGCACAGUAAGAGCUUGCUCUUACGGGUGGCGAGUGGCGGACGGGUGAGGAAUACAUCGGAAUCUACUUUUUCGUGGGGGAUAACGUAGGGAAACUUACGCUAAUACCGCAUACGACCUACGGGUGAAAGCAAGGGAUCUUCGGACCUUGCGCGAUUGAAUGAGCCGAUGUCGGAUUAGCUAGUUGGCGGGGUAAAGGCCCACCAAGGCGACGAUCCGUAGCUGGUCUGAGAGGAUGAUCAGCCACACUGGAACUGAGACACGGUCCAGACUCCUACGGGAGGCAGCAGUGGGGAAUAUUGGACAAUGGGCGCAAGCCUGAUCCAGCCAUACCGCGUGGGUGAUGAAGGCCUUCGGGUUGUAAAGCCCUUUUGUUGGGAAAGAAAAGCAGCAGGUUAAGACCCCGCCGUCUUGACGGUACCCAAAGAAUAAGCACCGGCUAACUUCGUG